UGAGGUGCUAAUGUGGAGAUAAUUAGCAUC
rnacentral:piRNA from 1 species